rnacentral:rRNA from 1 species
AACAAACGCUGGCGGCGUGCCUAACACAUGCAAGUCGUACGAGAAAGGGUCCUUCGGGGCCUGAGUAAAGUGGCGCACGGGUGAGUAACGCGUGGAUAAUCUGCCCUUCAGUUGGGAAUAACUCACCGAAAGGUGGGCUAAUACCGAAUAAUGCUGUGAGACCUCGGUUGAUCAGCCAAAGAGAGCCUCUGCGUGCAAGCCCUCGCUGAAGGAUGAGUCCGCGUACCAUUAGCUAGUUGGUAGGGUAAUGGCCUACCAAGGCGACGAUGGUUAGCUGGUCUGAGAGGAUGAUCAGCCACACUGGAACUGAGACACGGUCCAGACUCCUACGGGAGGCAGCAGUGAGGAAUCUUGCGCAAUGGGGGCAACCCUGACGCAGCAACGCUGCGUGAGUGAGGAAGGUCUUCGGAUCGUAAAGCUCUGUCGGAUGGAAAGAACCGCAUAGGGGUAAACAGCCCCUGUGUCUGACGGUACCAUCAAAGGAAGCACCGGCUAACUCCGUGCCAGCCGCCGCGGUAAGAC